rnacentral:rRNA from 1 species
UACGGAGGAUGCGAGCGUUAUCCGGAUUUAUUGGGUUUAAAGGGUGCGUAGGCGGCUUUUUAAGUCAGCGGUGAAAUUUUGCAGCUUAACUGUAACAGUGCCGUUGAUACUGGGGAGCUAGGAUUUGGUUGCUGUGGGUGGAAUGUGUAGUGUAGCGGUGAAAUGCAUAGAUAUUACACAGAACACCGAUUGCGAAGGCAGCUUACUAAUCCAUCAUUGACGCUGAGGCACGAAAGCGUGGGGAUCAAACAGGAUUAGAUA